rnacentral:rRNA from 1 species
GAAACACGGACCAAGGAGUUCAACUGGAUUGCAAGUCGUAGAGUUAAUCACAAAACUCACUUACGGCAAAGCGAAAGCAAAAUCGUGCCAACUAUUUUAAACAUAGUGCAGCACAGGCUGAUUAUGGAUAUGCUCAGAAUUUAUUGUGAGUAUACGUUAUACAUUUUAGUGUGACGAUUAAUCAAGCUAUAGAGCACUUUAGUUGAGACCCGAAAGAUGGUGAACUAUGCUCGGACAUGGUGAAGCCAGGUGAAAACUUGGUGGAAGCUUGCGUUGUGCGGAACUGACGUGCAAAUCGUUGCCGCCUGACCUGAGUAUAGGGGCGAAAGACUCAUCGAACCAUCUAGUAGCUGGUUCCCUCCGAAGUUUCCCUUAGGAUAGCUCGAAUUUAUCACAUUCUUACAUUAAAAAUUAUAUACACAAAAAAUACACUGAUAUUAGACUACUUCACGUAAUGCAUAUUACAAUCUUUGCGUAGCAGUUUAAACAGUAAUUUAUUUUUAACUUACACACAAAAAAAAUAAUGCGUUGUUUUGCUGCGCUAUACGCGCUCUGUUUGUAUGAAAGACUCAUAACGUGGUAUCAUAUCAUAGUGUAGUAUACUCUUAAUAAUUUCUUAUUUUUAGAGUAACACAAGGGUAAAGCAAUGAGACGCGGUAUCUGUGGGUCUUAUUUAAAUGACCUCGGCCUUCUCUCAAACUUUAAAUCUGUGCGAUUACGUGUGCUUUCUUUGAAAAUACUCAACUCGUUUAGUAUUGUGAAGUCACGUUUAUUAUUGUAUCAAAAAUUCGUAGUGGGCCAUUUCUGGUAAGCAGAACUGGCGAUGAGGGAUUCAACCUGACGUUCUCAAGAUAAGCCGGGCUUAAUCAUAUCUGCUCCAACCUUCCGAUAAACGCGA